UCGAACGAAGAAGUAAGCUUGCUUACUUCUUAGUGGCGAACGGGUGAGUAAUACAUAAGCAAUCUGCCCAUAUGCCUGGGAUAACCGUUGGAAACGAUGGCUAAUACCGGAUAGGUGAAUUGAAGGCAUCUUUGAUUCAUUAAAGUUGGGAUACAACACAUAUGGAUGAGCUUAUGGCGCAUUAGCUAGUUGGUGAGGUAACGGCUCACCAAGGCGAUGAUGCGUAGCCGACCUGAGAGGGUGACCGGCCACACUGGGACUGAGACACGGCCCAGACUCCUACGGGAGGCAGCAGUAGGGAAUUUUCGGCAAUGGGGGAAACCCUGACCGAGCAACGCCGCGUGAGUGAAGAAGGCCUUCGGGUUGUAAAGCUCUGUUGUAAGGGAAGAAGAGAUCAUAGAGGGAAUGCUAUGAUUGUGACGGUACCUUACCAGAAAGCCACGGCUAACUACGUGCCAGCA
rnacentral:rRNA from 1 species